rnacentral:rRNA from 1 species
AUGAACGCUGGCGGCGUGGAUAAGGCAUGCAAGUCGAGCGCGCCCGCAAGGGCGAGCGGCAGACGAGUCAGUAUUACCUUGGUACCUACCCCCGAGACGGGGAUAACACCGCGAAAGCGGUGCUAAUACCCGAUAGUCUCGCAAGAGUAAAGACGCAAGUCACUUGGGGAGGGGCCUCGGUCUGAUCAGCUAGUUGGUGAGGUAAUGGCUCACCAAGGCUAUGACCAGUAGGGGGUGUGAGAGCAUGACCCCCGACGAGGGAACUGAGACACGGUCCCUACUCCUACGGGAGGCAGCAGUCGAGAAUAUUCGACAAUGGGCGAAAGCCUGAUCGAGCGACGCCGCGUGGAGGAAGACGCCCUUCGGGGUGUAAACUCCUUUUCAUUGGGAAGAACUUUUUGUGACUGUACCAGUGGAAUAAGAGGUUGCUAACUCUGU